UCCUUGGAACUGCAUCCUGGUCUGUUGUGUGCAUUUCUAGAUCUCCUGUUGAACAAAUGUGCUGCCUACUGAAAGCAUCAGAGGAGAGCAGCGAAAGAGAUUGAGGAACAUCUGUUUUCUCCUUUGUUUCCUGGACCAAAUGGAAGCCCUUGCUGCAAUAAAAAUUUGGAAUUAACUGUCACCUUUGAGAUGAAAAGGAGGUGAUAGUCCUUUCCAUACCGUGAGACACUGUCCUGCUGAGCAGAAGACCUUAUCUGUCCCUGCAGAAUGUCAUGGAAAGAGAUGACCAUUCUAAAGUGCUACCAGCCAGGUGCCACAGCUGCCGUGAGUGCCUUACUGAGGAUGCUAAGCCAAGCUGGAGAAGCCACGUGAAGUCAAGCACCAGCACAGCCCUGCUGAUGGCUGCAAAAAUGUUAGUUACAGGCUGCAGGGAUGGAAAGGCUCUUGCCAGACUAAGGAAACACAUGAAUAUUGUCCAAGGUCUGUGGCUUUUGACACUCCGUAUUUCCUCCAAUUAAGUAUGUGCAAGGGUUCAGACAUAACCACAAGAUACUUGGCAUAUCUGGCCCUCUUUAUAUUCCCCUUCCUUACAGCAAUUAGAAAGUCCUGCUCAAAGGAGCUUACAAGUCAGUAUGUGUAGAUAUGGUGAGCAUUAUGUUAAGGGAAUACUGAUAAUUCAUAAAACCCAGUACUGAUAGGUUUAAAACCUAAAUCGAAAAGAAAGGUAGAGGGUGGGAAAAAGAAAGUAGAACAUUCCUGUUUUAAAUAUAGGGAAUGUAAACACUGAAGAAACAUACUUAAAAAUCUUAAAAAUUAAGGUUACUCCUUUAAAGUUAGUCAGUUAAAAGAUUCCUCUAUAGACAACCAAAACAGGUAGCAUUCGCUACAUUUGUUUAAGUGCAAAAGACAAUGCAGGGUAAAUGGGCUCCUAAUCUCUGCACUUCAGCAAAAUUCCUGAAGUGUGAUGGGAUGACAUUUGCCCUAAGAGAUUAACUGAAUUGGUCUCACACAGGAAAUCUAUGGCAGAGCCAGGAAGCAAGUUUACUGCAGAGCCUUACUUCUAAGACAGAACCCCAUAAAAUCAGUAGCCAUCCAUAGCCAGAAGAUGACCUAUACUCUCCUGCAUUCACUGUUUCUCUAUAGACUUUUAUUUUCAGGGGAAGUGAUUAUAGCAAACUCUGUAAGACCUCAUUCCUCAUUUUAUAAAUGUUCAAAUCUUAAUAAGGGUACAAUUAUGAGAAAGGGGGUUUUAAAGUAACCAAGUCUGUGCCAAGUAGAUGAAGGAAUCUUUGAAGUGAUCCCACCUUUGAUUUAUGUACUGGCUAAACCUUGAGUUUCAAUCUAGACUUCCUCUGCAAGUCUCUUAAAUCAAAAGUUUCAUUGCUCUGCAGUUCAGGAAUUAAUCUGACUGUGAGACUAAGGGGAAAAAUAUUGUACUGCAGAACAGUAAACUGCUGUAACUCCAAAGUUAAGCUGAAACUAAAGAAAAACAUGCUUUGCAUUAUUAGUGUGAUAGGGCUUUAGCCAGCCCGCAACUUCCUUCUGACUCUUGGCCUGCUCCCUUGUUCUCAGGGAGGUUUUUGAUUUUGGCAAAAUGUUCACUGAAAUGUGUCCUCUCUCCGUGACUGGAAUCACAGGCUCCAAUCAGCCCGACAUAAGGACAGAGCAGUAUUUUAGAUCAAACAUAUCCAAAUAUUAUUGGUGUAUUAUGUUUCAUAAUUACUUUGGAUCUUCCUUCUCUUUGCAGUAGAAAUGUGUUUUGGCUCUUACAGUCACAUAGUCCUGACACCUCAGAUAUGAUGGUUCUUACAGAACCAUGAGGUGGCUGUUGGUCUCUUUUCUUUAUGAACCAAAUUUAGCAGAGCAUUCAAACAAGUGCUAAAACUCUUCCCUCUUCAGCAAAAUACAUUGGGCAAGCUGUGCUUGCCCUCAGGAGAGCAAGCCCUGGGCUGAGAGCUGUAGACUAGUGAGCUCCUCUUGAGCCACUGUAAUUGUGUAGUUUCUGGAAAGUGAGAGAAUUGAGUUUGAGCUUUUUCUGGCAGAGGAAGGACCUAAACCCCAGUCUUUCCUUCCCUGGGAGAGUGCCCUGACCAUGAGGGCAUCCAAAGCAUGAUCAGUGCUAUUUGGAGGAUGGGUCAGAAGAAGCAUCAUAGGAGUGACAUACAUUCCUAAAUCUAGUCAAAAGUUUUGAACCUCAAAUCAUAGGCAUGUUCAUCCAGGAUAGAGAAGGUUUCAGACACAGCAUCUCUUUUCAGGCCCUCAGAGUUCUGUGAGUGUCUCCAGUUCCUCACAUUUAUGAAAUACUCUUCCAAAUCUGUGCUCUGUGAAGUCUUCUCCCAGAGCUGGGCUCUG